ensembl:lncRNA
UCUCUCUCUCCCCUCUCUCUCCUCUUCUCCCCCUCUCCCCCCCCCCCCUCUCUCCUUCAUAUCAUUCAGAGUACAGAACAUGAUGUCACAUUAAAAGCCUGUAACAGAUCCAUCUCUCUGAAGACUACAGUGUUUCCAACAGAUAAUAACCACUCGGAAACUAUUUCAACUUCAGUCAUUUAUCAUCAGUCACUACUUAAUUACCAUUUAAGAAUAAUGAGUUCCCAGAGAUGUUACAUGGUAAUUUGAUGAAAAAAAAGGCGCAGUGUAACUGUUAUGACAGCUGUCGGAUCCUCUUCCCACUGGUGAUUUAUACUAUACUUCAAAUAGAAACUCCCCUAUAGCUGUGUAUCCCUAUGUAACUAAACAACCAUUCAUAUAUAACCCCACAUAUAACCCCACAUAUAAUCCCACAUAUAACCCCACAUAUAAUCCCACAUAUAACCCCACGUAUAAUCCCACAUAUAAUCCCACAUAUAACCCCACAUAUAAUCCCACAUAUAACCACACAUAUAAUCCCACAUAUAAUCCCACAUAUAACCCCACAUAUAACCCCACAUAUAAUCCCACAUAUAACCCCACAUAUAAUCCCACAUAUAACCCCACAUAUAAUCCCACAUAUAAUCCCACAUAUAACCCCACAUAUAAUCCCACAUAUAACCACACAUAUAAUCCCACAUAUAAUCCCACAUAUAACCCCACAUAUAACCCCACAUAUAACCCCACAUAUAACCCCACAUAUAAUCCCACAUAUAACCCCACAUAUAAUCCCACAUAUAACCCCACAUAUAAUCCCACAUAUAACCCAUAUAUAACCCCACAUAUAAUCCCACAUAUAACCCCACAUAUAAUCCCACAUGAUAUCCAGGAUAUUCCCCUUCGAAGAACGUAAGAGAGGCACUUUGCUCAGCAGCACCACAUUGUUAAGAAAAAAAAUCCUAUUAAGAACCCUGAUAAUGUAAUAUUGUUUUGUUGUGGUGGAUUAUAAUGAUAUUUUUCUUUGUGCCCUACAUGCUAGUCUUGUCACCCUUCUCCCUUAAGACUUUUCUUAAACAACACUUCCAACUCGUCUUUGCUCUUCUCAUUGGAACCUUUUACCUGGUCUCUUUCCCUGUUUCUUCCUCUUCACUGGAAUGGGAUUCUGAUGAUUCUCCCUCCCCAUUUCUCUCCUCUUUGUCACCCCCCAUCUCCUUUCUCCUUUGCAGACUUGUCUGUUUUGGUAUCUUUAAAAAGAAAAAGUACUUACAUCAUCCUUCUCUCUCUAUCUUCUCCUGUCUCUGAGGGAUCACCUCUCUAUCUUCUCCUGUCUCUGAGGGAUCACCUCUCUAUCUUCUCCUGUCUCUGAGGGAUCACCUCUCUAUCUUCUCCUGUCUCUGAGGGAUCACCUCUCUAUCUUCUCCUGUCUGAGGGAUCACCUCUCUAUCUUCUCCUGUCUCUGAGGGAUCACCUCUCUAUCUUCUCCUGUCUCUGAGGGAUCACCUCUCUAUC